rnacentral:misc_RNA from 1 species
GAAAUGCGAUAAGUAGUGUGAAUUGCAGAAUUCAGUGAAUCAUCGAAUCUUUGAACGCACAUUGCGCCCUUUGGUAUUCCAAAGGUCAUGCCUGUUCGAGCGUCAUUUGUACCCUCAAGCUUUGCUUGGUGUUGGGCGUCUUGUCUCUAGCUUUGCUGGAGACUCGCCUUAAAGUAAUUGGCAGCCGGCCUACUGGUUUCGGAGCGCAGCACAAGUCGCACUCUCUAUCAGCAAAGGUCUAGCAUCCAUUAAGCCUUUUUUUCAACUUUUGACCUCGGAUCAGGUAGGGAUACCCGCUGAACUUAAGC